UACGUAGGGGGGCUAGCGUUGUCCGGAAUCAUUGGGCGUAAAGCGCGUGUAGGCGGUUCGGUAAGUCCGCUGUGAAAGUCGGGGGCUCAACCCUCGAAUGCCGGUGGAUACUGUCGGACUAGAGUACGGAAGAGGCGAGUGGAAUUCCCGGUGUAGUAGUGAAAUGCGUAGAUAUCGGGAAGGAACACCAGUGGCGAAGGCGGCCUUCUGGCU
rnacentral:rRNA from 1 species